UACGUAGGGUGCAAGCGUUGUCCGGAAUUAUUGGGCGUAAAGAGCUUGUAGGCGGUUUGUCGAGUCUGCUGUGAAAUUUCGGGGCUCAACCCCGAACUUGCAGUGGGUACGGGCAGACUAGAGUGUGGUAGGGGAGACUGGAAUUCCUGGUGUAGCGGUGAAAUGCGCAGAUAUCAGGAGGAACACCGAUGGCGAAGGCAGGUCUCUGGGCCAUAACUGACGCUGAGAAGCGAAAGCAUGGGGAGCGAACAGG
rnacentral:rRNA from 1 species